GAAGAAAGAAGGUGUACCAGAAGGACUAUAUAUGUGAAAAUAAUGAUCUUUUGUUAUUACUUAGAAAAACUGAGAUCAUUCAUUCACUUUUGGCUUUUCUAGCUCUCUAUUAAUUUCUUGUAUCCAAAUCUGUUUUAGACGCAAAGACCUCAUGCGAUUUUUCCUUUUUGGAUCCUUGGGAAGGGGAUGGGGAUGGGGAAGUAAGCAGAGGUAGGCCAAAUACCUCAUGCUGAAGGUUGUGCUGUGUGUGCUUUUCAUUGAAGUAAUGAUAAUUCUGUUAGUCGGAAUUUCAUUAGGCCCCCCUUUGUUUUAUAAUGAGCUCUGCAACUCCAGCC
rnacentral:lncRNA from 1 species